rnacentral:lncRNA from 1 species
CGAAUGGGGCUGAUUUUGAUAAACCCGAAAAACCGAAACCCGAAUGGAUAAAACCGAAACCCGAUUGGGAUCCCGAAUGCCCAGGCCUAGGUGCAAUAAUAGAAAAAAAUAUAGAAAAUAUUAAAUAUUAAAAAUGUGAUGAUGUAUUACUUUUUUGUUUCUCACUUGAUGAUGACACACAAGAGAUCAAAUACUAUUUCUAUAUCUAUACGUUUUAAACCUAUUUUCAUUUUAAUAAGAUGACGUAGAAUCUGUCUUUCAUUAUAUUUCCUGAUAUAUAUAUGUGUGUGUGUGUGUGAAGUUUGUUUAUUAAGGACUCACUAGAUUUUGAUCCGCGCUUUUGAAGCGCGGAUUUGUUGGAUUAUAAAUAAAAACACACUUUGAUAUGAAUUAGUAUUUUGGGUGUUGUACAUUAUUAUAUUACAAAGUUGUAUAUAUCGAUGAAGAAAAUUUAUUUAAACUUAAUAAGUUUAUUUGAGAUUUUGUAUGUACACUUUUACGUAACUUUCUAUCAGAACUAAGCAUUUUAUCUGAACCUAAAAAAUCAAACCAAAACUGACACGGAAAUACAUAUUCAAUUUGUGUCCACGUCCAAGACAAAGUACAUAUUGGGUAUAUUUUUCGACCUGCGGGUUUCGAUUUAUGAGUCCUAUCUGAGAACCGAUCGGCUACCUAAAGUACCCAAUUUUUUUUUGUAUCUGGGUAUUUAAAAUAUGUUUUCGGUAUUAUGGAUAUUUUUAAGUUAAAAGAGUAAAGCUAUCAAAAUUUUACUUAUAUAUUUUGGGUAUUCGAAUAAAAUUUUGGGUAUUUUUCAAUUCUUUAGUUUAUAUUUCGGGUAAAAAAAUUGAGUCGUUUAAGAUAUUUGACUAUUUUUGGGUAUUUGUUUGAGCUUUCAAAAAAUUUCGUGUUUCAAAUAUUUUUUUGUUUUCGGGUAUUUAGAGUAUUUUUGUAUCCUAAAUAUCCAAACUAACAUGACCCGUCAUAUACUCAAAAAUUAUAAUUAUUUAAAUUAUUGAUGCGAACUGAUCCAGACAUGAAAAGAACCGAUCUGAAUCCGAACUGAAAAUAUUCAAAUACCUAGUUGGUCUAAUGUCUGGAAACCAAAAAGAAUCAUUCCAUACUUGGUCUGAGACCCGAAUUCUAAAGCUUACUCUCUCAC